rnacentral:lncRNA from 1 species
AGAUGGCACCACUGCACUCCAGCCUGGAUGACAAGAGCGAGACUCCAUCUAAAAAAAAAGAAAGAAAGAAAUCAGAAGUUCUUUGACAUCAUUUUAAUUCAUACCUUCUCCAAAUCAGAACCACAAAAGCAGCAUUACCUACACCCAGAAUAGACACAGACAUCAACAGAAGCACAAAGUGAGAUGGAACCCUGUCUCCCAACCUGAGAGGGAGAGUUUGGGCUAAAACACGCCCAUGUGAGGACAGCAUUUGGAAAGUUAAUGCUAAGGAAAUAAGAAGGAUGGGAGUAAAAAGAGGACAAGCCCCGAUGUCCUGUUUAUCAGCUCCCCCUCUCUCCUCUCCUGUCUCAUCCGCUCCCGCCUUGAGGAUAGCGUGGUUUCCCUGGACUCCUUUCCAGACCAGCUGCAGCCCCAUUGGCAAUACCAACUUCCCUAGCUGGGGUUGGCUGGACGGUGUGGUUCUUGGCAGAAGAUGACACAUGGGUAGCAGAGUGACUUUGGCUCCUGCAUCGAGUGCUUGUCUCAGCCCCAUCCAUAGCCAUAUAGAAUCCUAGUGGUGAACAUGCAACACCCCUGAGAGCCACUGACCAGGCAGGCACUGGGGUGAGGGAAAGUGAGGGGACUGUGUGGGACCAGCUGUGCUGACGACAGCCUGCCACCCAAGGGAUGCCUGUCCCUGCACCCUGGCUUUGUUCCUGCACCUGGUCCCCAGGAAGCCAAAUCCAGUGCAUUUUUCCAGCUUCUGCUCAGAGACAGCCAGUGUCUGCAGAAGGGCCAAGGCCACUGGACGUCUGGAGAGAGUCUGGCCACAAUGGCCAAGUGGUGGACGUCUCCACAGGCUGCCCCGUGCCCCUGCAGAGGCAGGGCUUCAUGAAGCAGGAGCAGGCAGCUCAGACCUGGGCCGGGCCACCUGUGCAGGGAGAGUAGCGAUUUACGAAGAGCAAAUGGAAGCGAAAACCCCUUUUCUUCUUUGGGCCGGCUGUGUAUUGCUGGGGCACUUGGGCAGACCCCCAAAGACAUCCUUAAAGACAAGAGAAAUCGGGGGCUGUGUGAAGAUGUCACAUCUGCAGAUAGGGUUCGAGGUAGAGCGGCCUUUUGGGUUUUCUCCUCAUUUGGAGAAAUCGAGAAGUAGCACGGAAGACCUUCAGACCCAGAGCUUGUGUACGGCACAGUCCUUGAAGGAUUUGCUCCCAUUCUCAGGGAGCAAGACCCAUCUUAAACGUGGAAACAAAUACAGCAGAGUAAUACAUACUUGAGGCUUAAUGUAAGUUAAUUCCUCUUGGCACAGCCCCAGAUAUCUUGAUUAAAUGGUCUGCGAAGUGCUGAGAUAUCUUGAUAAUGUACGUUUUACAUUUGAUUAUAUAAUCAAUUAUGUUUCUCCUAAUAAAAUUUAAAAUGAGCUAAAAAAGCCAUGAGAAGACAGUACCACAUAUCAAAAGAAGGUCUCCAGAUGAAUGGAAGGAAGCCCUGGCCCCCUGGGUCACAUGUUGGUGUUCUCAGGCAUUGGGGCCCGGUAUUUCCUGCGUUUACCUGUGCAGAAGUCAUCAUAGCUUACUAGAUUUGUGUUGGUAGAGGGCAUGUGCAGAGUGAGGUAUCAUUUCAAGACACAGAAUAUAGCGCAGCAUUGCUUUCUGGGAUGAACGUGGUUUUAUUCACUCAGUAACUGAGAGAUUGAGGAUUUGGCUCAUCUCAGGAAGCUCAAGGCAGAGCUGAGAAAAGAACUCAACGAAGCUGGGCUUGCCCGAGAGACUGCCACCGAUCUGGUUGGGGCCACCAGUCAAUUUAUGAAACAAUGUAAGGAGGAGUGUUCAGAGGCGCACCAAGGGCCUCGUACAGCCAAUUAGGAGAGUUGCUGGUGGCUUUCUCUGCCUGCCUGUGAAGCAGCAGUGCCCGCUGGGGAGGUGGCAGGAUUUAAUAGAAGGGGCAUGUUCAAACCCAUUCUUCCAGGGAGUGUAGGAGAAGGACCUGAUGAGUCUUCCUAUCCGUGCCCUGGAGGGUGAUGUUUCUCCAAGGAUGCUUCCAUGUAGCAGGGAGCUUGGGAGGUUUGGGGGACAAAUGCUCGUUCUUAUUAAUGGAUGGAAGGGUCUAUUCCAGACAAUCCAUUCUGUCCCGCAGACAGGCUGCUGCACCAUUUUUGUUUCCGUUUAAAACAUUGCUAUCAACCAGUUGGAAUAUAGGCCCGGAGUAUCGCAGGGAGUAAUCUAAUUAGUAUGAAGUCAAUUCAGUCGCUCCUUUUGUAUCUCGUGAUUAAAUAAGUGGGGAAAAUGGCUUGAAAAUUAGGUGCUAGAACGACCCAAUUACAUUUCUGUAGCUUUUUGUAUUCAAUUUCAUAAACAAUUUUGCUCUUCGCUGGUUAAUCAGUGAAUGCCUUUUUCCAGUUUGAAAAGCACUUUUGAAAUUAUAAUGCAAUUAAAUUGUGUGUGGAUGUUCUGGCAUAGCGAGUGUGAAAGCCAGGGGCUUGGCAGGCCGCCAUGUUGUACCUUGACUGUAAUGAGUCCCUGGGCUGGCAGCUUGCGAGUGUCAUUCAUAAUAUUGUCCAUGCUGGGUUACUGUAAAGUGCAGCUGCCUUAACCGGCAGUUAACCGGCGACUGCCAGUCUCUCUCUGCAGUGGGCUGUGCGUGCCUCUUCCAACAGGGCUGUACCCCAAAGACGGCAGAGUGGCCAGGCUCCUCUCAGUACUUGCCCAGGCAUUGGGAAGUCGGGGGUCUUCCUGGUGGAUGGGGCCACUGCCUCAGAGAUGAUCUGAUUACCUGUCCCCAGGGAAGGGUGGAAUGUAUUUAUCCUUCUUCAUCUCCUUGGCCUAGCAGGCUUCUCUGUCUACAGUUACAACAGAUUAUGGGAAGGGGAAGGGAGGAGACAGAAGUCUUAAGCACCUUGCUCUGCACCUAGCUUACAAUAAAUACCUUUACUGAAUCCUUCCAAUAACCUUUGCAAGAGUAGUAUUACUGUCUCCAUUUGAUAGAUGGAGAUAUUGAGGCACAGCGGGAUUUGAUGACAUCCCAUAAGUGGUGGCUCUGAGAUUGGGACCUGAAUUGAUCUAACUCCAAGACCUAUGUUCUUUCAGCAUUUCUGCAACUGGGAAACAAACUGAAAUAAAGGCUGGGGGAGCUGGGUGCAGGAGAGUGGCAUGAAGUCACUGCUCUCCGAGAGGGGACGUGAGGACAUGAACCUUCUUCCUUAGGCUGGGAGAAUGCCUCUUGGUCCACACAAGGAUGCCAUAUAGAAAAUGAAAGAUGCUUUAGUUUUUCACCAAAUUAUAUUUAACCAUAUUUCCACUCCUUUGGACAUUUCGAUGUGAGUUGGGAUGAUCUAUAAGGUGGGCACAAGACACAAGACAGUGACUCAAGGCUGGGAUCAUGAGAAGCCCCUAGGGAAAAUACUGGCCAUGGCAUAAUCCAGUGGCACAAUCCUGUCUCAGUCCCCAGAUCUUGCCCCAAUCAAGAACAAAGACUCUCGUGCCUCUAGUGCCUUAGGAUAUGAGGCCUGUAGAAGGUGGUCGACCCCCAAAGGGCCUCACAGCAGGAGGUGGUGAGAUCACUCUGAUUCUAGAACUUUCUUGCUGAUUAAUGGCUCAAGUCCUAACAGUUAACACCUAGCCUCCACCUCUAAUCCCCUUCUUCCCUAUUGAUUCUUUUUCCUGAUAGAGGCCUUCACACUAAACCCGGUUUACUGCAAAUGAGUGUUAUUAAACUCCUAGAGGGUGCUUUUCAGCACAUUCCUUCAUGUUAAAAUUGCCAUAGACUUUCAACCAAAGGAGGGGAGUACCUGUGGCCUGGUUAUCGUAAUGCUUGCUGAGUGGAAAUGACAAGCUUUACACCAAGGUGGGCCUCCAGGGGGCUGGAGCACUGUGGUGGUGUUUAUUGGUGAGAGAGGAAAGGUUAGCAGGUAGAAGUGAACACACCUGGGCCUGGCUGGUACCGGGGAGAAGGAGGGACAGAGGGAGAAAUGUCCUGACCUACCUUGGACUUGGGGAGAUUGUUUCCUGUUGUAGCCUCUUUUAAAAAUUUUUUUGACUGUGUCUGGGAGAUCAUGGGUCAGGUGCAACAUCUCUUUUGCAGUAAAGCUUGGCAAGGCUAGGGUGGGGAGGUGAAUGGGGUGGGACGGUGGAUUAGAGAGAGGAGGGGAGAUAGGGCCCCUGGGACUAAGCUUAGAUUUAGCUGGGAAGCAUGUUAGUAGCUGCCAGCAUGUGCUUCUAAUCAUCUAUUCGCCAGAUGUUCCCGGAAUGGGAAAUAGAGGGGCCUUGCCUGAUAGUUCCCUGAUGGAAACUGGUAGCUUCAAAUUGGAAAUGGGCUCCAGUUUGCUGCCAGGUGUUUGCUCCUUCCUAGAACAUCUGGAAGGAGGACAGUAGAAAAGGCAUCUCUGCCCCAGCCUGGAGUUUUGCGGGCAGCUGUCUUGCUGAUGGAUCUCUGAAAGCUGGACAUUGUGGUCAUGAGGAGAGUCAUGAGAAUCUUCUGAAAUGAGCCCUCCAUUUGCAGGAGUUCACCUCAGAGUUUAAACUUCCAGGAUUGAGCCUGAGGCUCCAAAACAGGGCACCUUGCAAGCCUGGGCUAAUAAGGCACCUAUUUCUGGAGAGAUGCAGAUUUUUCAAGAUGUUAGAGGAAGAAGCAAGAGGAAGAUGAAGAAUCAGCUCCUGACCUAAUUUCUGGUCCAAAGUGAAAAGAUUGAAAAAUACUUUUUAAGGUGGUGACUAUCCUAAACCAGUGAGCCUUGUGGAAAUUCCAUGAGGAUCUCACAGGGAAAACUGGACCCCGAAUGAAUUAACAUGGAACCCACCUAACCACACAAGUCUUUGCUCUGGGUAUGUGGAACCAAAAUUAUCUUCCUGGCUGAAAUGACCAGUUUCUCAAGAAUUUUAGGGUGCAGUGCAGGAUCCUAAGAUGGUGUAGCAGGAGGCCACUCCCUGGGCCUCUGAGUGCAUCUGCCAUCAGUGGGAAAGGGUGUGAAAUCUGCCUUGGGAGUUACAGGGAGGUCCUCAGCGUAGACACGAGCCACGGCUGACACACACUCAGGAGAACACUUACAAAGCAAACUGAAAGGAAAUUAUGGGACGCUCAUAUGAUGGAUGAUUACACAUCCAUUAAAAUGGUGUUUACAGAGAGUUUUUAAAUGACGUGGAAAUGCCGAUGACAUAGUAUUGCACAAAAAAGCUAUAAAAUUUAUAUACGCUGUGAAUCAUAUUAGAAUUAGAAUCACCUGGGGAGCUCUUAGAGAAGACCAACUCCCAGGCCCCACCUCAGACCAAGUAAAUCAGAGGCUCUGAGGGUGGCGCCUGGACAUCCCUGUCUUUUAAAACCCCCCAGGUGAUUAUGAUAUGCAGGUUGGGUUGAGAGUGAUUGCAGUAAAGCAGUAUUCAUGGAAGGAAAGAAAUUCUCCACACUUUCACCAGUGGUUUUCUCUGGUAGAGGAGUUAUGGGGUGGGUUGAAAUCUGUGCCUUAAUUAUUUGUGAGUUAUCCACGGUUUUGCAGGGAGCAUAGGAGCUAUGAUGAGAACAGGGGUCUCUUCCAGCAGGUAAAAAUGGACAGUGCUGGAGACCCAAGUCGAAUCUCUUCUCUGCAACACUCUUCCCUGCCUGCCUUCUUGUCCCCAGUCCUUGGGAUUCUGUUAAUUUGGGGAUUUAUUUCAUGCUCUUGGUGAUGAGGCCAUUAUGCCUAUUCAGAUUGUUUAUCAGAAAAGCCAACAACCAAAAACAACCUAUUUGAGACAAAGUGGGAGGCCCAGCAUGGCGCCCACUGCAAUUGCUCAUAUGGGUGUGACCUGAGUUCACAGGGUCGCCAGAGUCUGGCAGCUUGGGAUGCAUGGUAUGCAGAAGGCUGCUGGAUCCUCUCUUAUAUGGGGGUUCCUGGCAGGCCGAUCUGGCAGGCAGGUGUGUGAGUCCUGGCUGGGUUGGCUUUCCUCCCAGGACAUCUGGGAGAAAGACCAGCAUGGGAAGAAGGCAGUCAGGGCAGCAGUGACGGCCUCUGGGGCCCCUCCCCCUGCAGAUUUGAGCAAAGCCUGAGCCACAGGUGGGCUCAGGGUAAAGACCAGGGUAGGAGUGUGCACUCAGCCAUAAUUGGCCGCCUUGUUGAUGUAUUGGGUCCAGUGAAGAGCCUCUGAGCAGAGGGAUGCUGUGCCAAGUUUCAUUUCUGGAGCUGUGGUGGCUCUAACUAGGAAUCGAGCUUUUGCCCAGUCCUGACAUCAUUUGAUCAUUUAGCUCCGAGGAACCAGAGGCAGGAAGCAUGCCACUAACCUUUUACUGCCUGUCACUGUUGAAGAGGAGGGGCAGGCCGCCCUGGGAAGGGGAGAAUCAAUCCACAACUUGCUUUUGUCGUUUGUUAAGUCUUCUCUCCCCGCAUUUCAGGCUGAGGGGCCUGACCUUGCCACCUCAGAACCAUGAGACAGGAGGAUGCAGGAAGGGGAGAUGCUCUGAGGGAAUGUGGCAGCCCCCACCAGGCCCCGCUCCUCCCAGGAGAUGGGUUUCUGGUGGACCUGGUAGUGUUUUACCUUGCCUUUACCUCACGUACCUCUGGAUUCUGAAUAUUCUCCUCUGGUUCUUGUGCUCUCUGAAUAUUCUCCUCUUGGAUUCGUGGUGUGGUCAACGACAAGGGUCACCUAGUCUAUACUCCAGUUUCCUCUUGGGUUAAAAUGGAUAAUCCUUUUUGAGAUACUUCAUCGAAUGAUAGUAAGGAUAAAGUGAAAUAACCUACAGGAAUGGGUUUGGAAAGACAGUGGGAAAGUAAUAGUAAUGAUAAUAAUGUCACUUUGAGAGCACAUCCAGACACUCCUCUGUUCUUUUCCUCUCUGUUCCCAGCUGGGCAGGUGAGCAGCUUACACCAAAUGGGAAAGCCAAUACUUUCUACAGCCGACUGCGUGCCUCUGCCUUCCCCGCCCACAUCAGGAGAGGGUCCCAAACCCUCCCUCUCUGCAAAUGCCCACUUCCCUCAUGUCCUCUCAAUCCCACCUACACCCACCCUAGUUCUCCAGACCCCUAAGGAAGGGUACUUUAUCAUUAGGCCAACUAAUUGUUCAUCUGUGCUUCAGUGGGUGUGGUGGGGGAGCUAGAAAGCUGAUCAGCCGUGCCAAAGAGUAAAUCAAUGGAUCGUAGCCAAGUCAGGACAGGUGACCCUGACAGGUGUGUGCAGCAGAAUCGGAUCCUCAAGCCAGAGCCUGCUGGGAAGCAUGAAGGAUUUGGCAUCACCAAGGAGGAAUGUCGCAGGUUUGAAUAAGGAUUCAGAGGUUUAAUCAGCAAAGCUAUUUAGGUCCCAGUGAGUCUAACUGUGAGAAUUAUUUUGAGCUUCACCCUGUUCCAGAAAUUUUGGGUUCGCUAAGCAAGAUGGUAUUUGGCAGCAGCAACCUGGAAAAGAGUGAGGACUUGCCAUAGAAGCCUCUGGGAUUAGAGGAAUUUGCAGAGCCUCAGAGCCCAAGGCUGGCGCCCAGUAAUUUUUGUGGGACAUGGUCUCAGAACUCUAGCUUCUGACGAUUUGCUUUUAAAAGUCCAAUCUGUCUGCCUUUCUCCUUAAGGCAAUCUGUCCUGAAUUCAAGAUAUUCUGUGUCUGCUUGUCUUUGUCCAUUUUGUCACCUUGAGACAUGGCUGCAGCCUCAGGUACCUCCUGGCACAUAAGCAGGUGCUAAACCAAUAUUGAUUGAAUCGAAGGAGGCUAGCACGUUGGAGGGAAUGUGUUGCCUUCUGUGUAAAGAGCCCUCCUUUCCCCAGAGCUGGCAUCUCUGCUAUGGAGGCUGCCACCCACCAGCUCAGGGCAGAGAGCUGAGCUCGGCCGACCUCCAUUCGUCAGCACGGCGCCACAUUUGGGUAGCACCUGCUUCCCCGCCGUCCUGAUUUAGAGGAGCCUGGAUUCAGGUUUCUGUUGUAAACUCUAUUUUUAACUAAACCGAGUGGAGAUCAGGCUGAGAUGGCUGUAACUUAUGGGCAUGAGGUGACCAAUGCAAAGGUAACAGGAUGCAUUCUCACUGGAACUGCUGUGCAAGUGUGGACGUGCCCGACAACUCCGUCUGAGGAUCCCACAUGGGCACAGUGACCUGGGAUGGAGCAGGAGUGCCCCCUCGUAGAGUCCAGAUGCACAUGUCCAAUGGGAAGGCGAGGGCAGUCUCCUAGAAUGCCUCUGUGGUGGGCGGUACGGUGUUCAUGGGGACCACUUGUCAGUGUCUGCCCUUAUUUGUCAGCAUUGGUUACUAGUUAUUGUAAAGAUAUUGCCUUACAUUUAUAUUUCCCAAAUGCAUUGAUCCCUAUAAUGACCUUGAAAAGCAAUAAUAGCGUUAUAAUAAUAUGUAAUAAUAGUAUUAAUGACCAGCAACUUCUGCUUAUUGAUCCCUUAGGAUGUGUCGUGCUCUGUGCCAAGUGCCCUCCUACAUUAUCACUCAUUAAUAAACCAGGUGGGGAGGCUGUUACUGGGAUUUCCAUUUUUCAGAUUCAUUCAUUCAUUUGACAAAUUUUUAUUGAGAAUAAGUUCUAGGCACAGGGAAUUCAGCAGUGAACCACCCAGGCUGAAAUCUCUGCCCUCAAUGAGGAAGCUGAGCCUGUUGAGGUCACCUGAGUUGCUCAGGGUGAUAGAGCCCAUAGAGUGAGGCUGGGGAUCAACCCCCAUCACUCCAGACCUGCUGAGUUCCUGGGCCACCACAUUUAUCAGCAAGGAUAACCGACCAGCCAUUGGCCUCUAUUAUAUGGCAGCUUAUCCAGGGCUGUGUUAACACUAAGCCUUCCAUUUAUUUUGGUUGAUCUUCCAGGGGCUGAUGGAGGAGUGACAGGCUUUAGGGACAGACAGACCUGGGCUUACAUCCCAGCUCAGCGACUCCCUGAUGGAAGGAGGGCAUGGACAGUGACUUGACUUUGCUGAGCAUCUGAUUCCUCAUUUGUCUAACUGGGAUAACAUUACUUGCCUUGAGGGCGAGGGCAGGCUAGAAGGAUUAGAUAUCAUCAUAUGAAGGGGUUGAGUAGGACUUAUAAGCCAAGUACGUGGUGGUGGUUGUGACGAUAAUGAUGACAACCUAAUAAGAAGGAAAAGCCAGGCGGGGAAAGGAAUAUGGCUCAUCCUAGAGGAGAACAAGUCAGGAGGUAGCUCUACCCCUCCCUCCCUGGGCUAGGAUUUGUCAGUCCCAGGUUGGGAAAGGAACUCCAGCCCCUGCACAUCUGUGUCUCCCCAGCCCCACCCCUCAUAUCCUCCAUCCUAGCCCCAGCAAUGCCGCUGCUCCUCUGGGGAAAGCUAAUGGCCAAGGCAUUACUUAACUCCUGGCUUUUCUCCAGCCUUUGCUGAGGCCUCCACCACUGCCAGCUUCUCUCUCGUCACUAUUUGGUUAUGUUCCUUUACAAGCCAAUGAAAUAAAAUAAGAAAGUCCAUUAUACCUCUGGUUGGCAGAAAACCAGGAGCUAAGAACCAGAGUGCAAAGGCCCUCAUGAGUCUGUAGCACAGGCCAUUGGAUGGGGAUGUCUUCCUUCAGAAGGAUGGUGCAUGGGCGGGGCAGGGCGGAGAAGCCAGCCCAUGGGCCAGUCCACAGAGCCCAGGUCAAGGAUGCAAUUCUGGGUCCUGUGUCCCCAUGGUUGAGCCUCUGGUGGCCACCCCCAGUCUCUCCUAGAAGGUUUCCAGCCUGGAUGUGUCAGGCUGGCAUGUGUGCCAGGCUGGAUGUGUCAUAUGGGGCACAGCCUUUAGGCGCAGCAGUAGGUGACCCUUUGUAGGGCAAGGGUCUCUCUCUGAGUGUGGGUUCUGUCCUAGCUUUUGCCAUCUAUCUUCUACCAACUACUGUGGAGCUUCGGUUUCAUCAGUCUUAAGAGAUGAGCAGGACAGAUGGCUCUGCCAGCCUUCAAAGACACAAAUUCUGCAUUCUCUCUCUCUC